rnacentral:lncRNA from 1 species
GGUUUGGGGGUAAUGGGGGCAAUGAAGGGGUUGGGGGUAAUGGGGGUAACAGGGGGAAAUGGGGGGGUUGGGAGGAUUGGGGACAUUGGGGACAUUGGGGGCAAUGGGGACAUUGGGGGUAAUGGGGGCAAUGGGAGGAUUGCAGGAAUUGGGGAGAAUGGGGGCAAUGGAGGUAAUGGCAGCACUGGGGGCAAUGGGUUCAAAGGGGAUAUUGGGGGCAAUGGGGGCAUUGGGGACAAUGGGGGAAUUGGACGCAGUGGGGGCAAUGGGGGCAUUGGGGGGAUUGGGGGCAAUGGGGGCAAUGGGGGCAGUGGGGACAUUGGUGGCAUUGAGGUGACAUCUGGUGACAGGGAGGGGACAUUUGGUGACAGGGGGAUAUCUGGUGCCAGGGGGGGCAUUUGGUGACACAGGGGACAGGAGGUGACAUGGGGGAG